GCAAAAAAGACAAAACAAAAAGACACUUAGAUUCACAGUACAGACAGAAACAGAGAGGGACAGGGAAAGGGCUACAAGUGCAUUCAUCUGCCUGAUUUAUGAAGACUGACUCUAAGUUUAGAGGACAGGGAAAAAUGGCUAUUUUUUUUUUUUACAUUCCUCUGAAAAAUGUACAAUGGAAACAGAGGUCUUCUACUGGAAAAUGUGGGGUGUAACCACACCAGUAUGUGUUUGACUAAGAGUGGAGCUGGCAAGCACAGGGAACAAACUUGUUCUUCAUAGCCAACAGCUCAAAACAACAUAUAUUUCAACAUUCAGUAAGGGAGCCUCACAAAGCAAAAAUAUAAGAGUCACCCAUUGUCACUGCAUCACAUUUGUAUUGUCAUACACUUUCUGUCUAUGACUGUACAGAAUAAAACCUAAUUCACACCUUCCUGAAGUCUCUUCCUCUGCAAAGCAAACAGAACAGGUGAUUAAAACUGGUAAAAACGCUGAAUGGAGAAUUUUCAUGUUGCAAAUUAGUGUUUCUUCAAUGCUCUUGUUGCAGACAGGCUUCAAACUACGGUGGGCGACAUGACAAAAGCAAAACGUGAUUGGCCCUAUCUACAGCCAGUACUCGGUCUGUCCAUUCUGGGCUAGAAACAUGGCAGUGCAACUUGGCGAUUUCAUAAUGAAGUACCCACUCCCUAUGUACAUAUAUCGACUCAUUUGAAGGUAAUGAAAACACGCUAAUUCUUAUUUUAAGGUGAUUAUACACAAAGGAAAACACAUUAUAGCCCAUAGCAUUUCCCCUAUAUAGCCCCCUAAAUCCUACACACUGGCCCUUUAAGGCUUAAAGUUAUGCAUAAUUAAGGCUGGGGUAGCUUGAGUGACACGCUGUCUGCGAGGCGUCGCUACAGUCAGUCUAGUCCACCCCUCGCUCCUCCACAACUCCUCCCUCCUAUCCAAAUAUGGUCACUUCAGGCUCCAAAAAUACAAGAUGGUGACAUCUGAAAUGCUGAACUUGGGGCUUCGAAACAGGAGUCCACAAACCGAUGGGUAAUGUCAAGGCUUCUCUGUACUGGACCAUCAACCAUCAGCUCUUCCUGAGGCAGACUCGUUGUGCCCUGCUCCACUCCAUUCACCUCCAGCCAUUGUAUCUAGAGUCCAGGACAAGCUCAACAAAGGCUCAUUCCUCUACUCAUCAGCACUUCUCCAUCUUCUCCACAUCCUCUUCUCAUCCCCUCUUUACCACCUCUACCAACACCACCAGCGUCUAGACCCCGGGGGGUUCCCUAUUCGACUAUGGAUUCAUCACCUUCCUUAAAUCAUUCCAUCUCUAAUCACCAAAGACUUUUCACAUUUUUCUGUCAUAUGCACAUGCUAAUAAAUAUUCUUUUCACUAUAAAAAUGAGUCUCUCCUGAUUGAAAUGGUGUACGUGCAAAAGUCUUAAUUUGUAAAGGAACUAGGAACUUAAGGUUUCAAAUAACUGGAGCUGAGUGAAGAGUACAAUAUUCCCUUUGAAGUGUGGUGGAGUAGAGGUAGAAAGUGGCAUGAGAUCAAAAUACUUAAAAGUAAAAGUACAUCAAAUUUGUACUUUAGUACACUACUUGAGUAAAUGUUCUAAAUUAUAUUCCACUCCUGGCAGCAAAGUGAUGCAGAAUAACUGAAUUACAGUAAUUGGGUUCGAUGGACCAAGCAUAAUAGUAUUUCUAUAGGCCUGAAAUUUAGAAAUCCAAUCAUUGUAAUUACUCCUGAAAUGUUUCUCAGAUGUGAAACUUAUGUUUCCUCACAUUUGACAAGAAUUUGUGGACUGUGAAAAUGAGAUGUUAAGAUGAUUUCCCCUUACCUAAGAGAGGAGCAAAAAUAAGACAACAUGAUAAAUCCUGGAAAUCAAUGGGUGUUAACAAAAUAGGAAUAAAUUAUGGACAAGAACAAAAAUAAGAGAAAAUCUGUGUGCACUAACUGCACAGAAAAUAAUGCAGCUUUAAGUUCACUUCAUUCUCUGCCUUCAUGCAUGCAGAGGGACCAUAUGAGCCAAUUUUCAAACACUGGCAAAUGGAACAGGACGUAACAGAAUAAUAAAACAAAUAUGCAAUACGCUCAGCAGUGAUUAGCACAGAUGGACAUGAAAAAGUCGUGCUCGUCCAUCAACUUUCUAACACAACAGAAACCUACAGCUGGCUGCAUUCGCUCACCGGUGAUUGCUAUUUGUUGCUUAAUGCGUAACAGCUGUCCGAUUGUAAACUUGGAGAAGUAAAUACUGUUUAAAGCCAUGGAUAGCUGAUGUCACAUUUACUAAUGGUGUCCUUCUUCUUCUUUCUAAUGUGAGUCAGAUGGAGACUUACAGGGUUCCAGAAACCAAAAUAUUAUAUAUAGUUUUUGUUGGCAAUACUGAAAGAGAAAGACAAAGAGAAAUGAAAGAACCUCAGUCCAUUUCUAGGUAAAGGCUGAAUCAGCAGAGAUGAUGCACUGGGUAACACACCUGAUCACGUCAUAGUUCUUAUGUGAAAACUAUUGACAAGGCAUUUAGUCAAUAAGAUGGUUUCUUUCUACCUGGCCAGGCAUGACAGAAAAUAUUUUUCUUUUUUUUGUAGUUUGGGUAAAUUGACCUUAUAAAACAGUCUCUGAGGAGAGACCAGGCAUAACACUGAUUCUGUGUUAGCAGUUAUUUGUCCUCACAUGGCUUCCAAUAUGAUUGUUUUGGGAGACGGUGCAGGAUAGGCGUGCCAAAAUACAACAGGAAAGGAAGAAGAAAUGUGGCGGCUGAUAAGAAAGCCAAUGGAACUUCAAUGUUUGGAAAAGAUAAUUGCCGCUCCAGUUUAGCUUUGCUGGUCAAAACAACUAUAAUGUGUUUCUCUAUGAUGUGUUCUGAUGAGCUGUAAAAAUUACUGUCUCCCUGUUGUGGGUCAUUACAGCCUGGCAGUGUCCUUGCCUUCUAUGUUUUGAGCUGCUGUCAGAGAGUUCUGACUGUUGGUUAUCUACACUUGUACUGGCUGCCACUCCUUUACCCGCCCAAUUAUAUAAUAAGUAGCCCAUCAGAACACCACCCCAUCUGCCAAAACUGCCCAUGUGUUGUUGCCUGAUAUCAGACAGCAAUGUGAACCUGUUUCACUCCGUUUCCAUCUUCUGUUUGAAAUUGUUUCCACUCUAAUGGAUUUUCGUGGGGAGGGGGAUUUGAUUUUCUCUAACCAAUCACUGGAGACCAACGUAUCUGCCUGAAUCUAACGUCAUGUUAAGUCCACACUCGUGCAUAGCCAUGCCAACAUGUGUGUGUUGCCUGGGUUUUAAGAGUGGAGCGGAGCAACAUAAAAAGAAAUGAUGUCAGGUGACAUUCACAAGAUGUACGCUGCUAUUCUUCUAAAUCAAGAUGUCAACAUGCUUGGCAUUCUUGUAAUUAAUCCUCAUUGGUUCAGGUGCAACGGUGCUGCUGAUUGGCUUAUCAAGUCCCCCUUUGACGCUUAUUGGUUAUUUUUUAUUUUGACCGAGAAACAACUGUUUCAUGUCAGACAAAUCAGUCAACAGACAGCCAAUCUCUAUCGACUGAAAGCUAAUCAUUAGACGAUAGCUGAGGGUUUCCGAGAUUUGUUCUCCACAUAAACUGUUUACCUGCAACCCCCCUGAAUUCUGUGUGACGUUGCAAUUUUGUCCAGUCACCGCAACUUGACCGCAAGUUAGACCAUUUAAAAUGGGUAAAGGGUCAUUUCACUGUAAAGCUGUGCACAACAUAUUGAUUCACUCAUCCCCCAGAUCUCUCUGUUUAUCAUAAGACUGCUGUUGUGCGACUGGACAUGAAGUGGAUGUGCUUACGAUUACGAUACGGCUAACAAUUCCGAACAGUUAUUUACAAGUUUAACGUGUAGUGUAAAAGUUUGUGCUUAGUAAAUCAAGUAACAAAGUUAAGAUAUCUAAGUGAUUGGGAAACAAAAAAGAGCCAUAUAAUCAUGUACAAGGCAUUAUAAAAGCUUUGAAUCUGUAUUGGAUACUGUCGAGGUCAUUUACUCCUUUGAUCAUUCACUCCUUUGAAUCUGUUGUCAAGGUCAUUUACUGAAAGAACACACCAUGUCCUGUUUAAUGAUGAAACACAUACUCAGGUGCUGUAACUAGCACACACUUGCUCACAUAUUGUACUCCAAGGUUUUAUUUUGCAUGAAACUAGAAACACUGUGGGCCGUGUAGAAGUCCCUGGAAUUCACAUCUUGCAUGAAACUAGACGCAUUGUGGACUGUAUAGAGAGUCCCCAGAAUGCACAUAUUUUUAAGAAAUAGAGCGAGAAUGGAACCGAACCUAAGGGAAGGAAUUUUGGGAAAUUCCAGGCUACAUCACACCAUUAAAAACGGCCCAAUCAGAAUUGGACACAAAGAAGUUCUCCACCAAUAGAAUUGGGUUCGAGUAGGAAGUAUUAGCAAAAAAAGUGGAGACUCGUCUGGAUCUCCACCAGCAUAUAAGCUAGGGUUCUGAACGCAGUUCUUUAGUCACACUCCGGAGUCUGACUCACUAAGUUGUAUGUGUUAAAGCCUGUUGACACAUUAAACUUGAUUGCAUCGGACCUUGCCUGUUUCCAGUGUUUCUUUAAGUAUUUGCCAGCUGAACCUAAGAGAUCAAAUCGACAUUUGAAGACGACUAACAAGAG